rnacentral:rRNA from 1 species
GACGAACGCUGGCGGCGUGCUUAAUACAUGCAAGUCGAACGGAAAGGCCCUGCUUUUGUGGGGUGCUCGAGUGGCGAACGGGUGAGUAACACGUGAGUAACCUGCCCUUGAAUUUGGGAUAACUUCAGGAAACUGGGGCUAAUACCGGGUAGGAGCUCCUGCUGCAUGGGGGGGGUUGGAAAGUUUCGGCGGUUGGGGAUGGACUCGCGGCUUAUCAGCUUGUUGGUGGGGUAGGGGCUGACCAAGGCUUUGACGGGUAGCCGGCCUGGGAGGGUGACCGGCCACAUUGGGCCUAAGGUACGGCCCAGACUGCUACGGGCGGCAGCAGUGGAGAAUAUUGCACAAUGGGCCGAAGCCUGAUGCAGCAACCCCGCGUGCGGGAUGACGGCCUUCGGGUUGUAAACCGCUUUCUCCGUUGACGAAGCGUGAGUGACGGUAACGGGUAAAGAAGCCCCGGCUAACUACGUG